UCAGACAUGGUUUGAACACUUAGAAGAUGG
rnacentral:piRNA from 1 species